rnacentral:rRNA from 1 species
GAUGAACGCUGACAGAAUGCUUAACACAUGCAAGUCAUUGGCGAAGCUGCGCUUGCGCAGUCUAGCCAAGGCGGACGGGUGAGUAACGCGUAAGGAACUUGCCCUGCAGACAGGGAUAACAGACGGAAACGACUGAUAACACCUGUAAUUGUCAGGCUGGCGCAUGCCGGCCUGAUGAAAGGAGACGCUGCAGGAGAGCCUUGCGUCCUAUUAGCUAGUUGGUGGGGUAACGGCCCACCAAGGCGAUGUUAGGUAGCCGGCCUGAGAGGGUGAACGGCCACAAGGGGACUGAGAUACGGCUCUGACUCCUACGGGAGGCAGCAGUGGGGAAUAGUGGACAAUGGGGGCAACCCUGAUCAAGCAAUUCUGUGUGCACGAAGAAGGUUUUCGGAUUGUAAAGUGCUUUCAGCAGGGAAGAAGAAAGUGACGGUACCUGCAGAAGAAGCGACGGCUAAAUACGUG